rnacentral:rRNA from 1 species
UACGUAGGGGGCUAGCGUUGUCCGGAAUCAUUGGGCGUAAAGAGCGUGUAGGCGGCUCGGUAAGUCCGCUGUGAAAGUCCAGGGCUCAACCCUGGAAUGCCGGUGGAAACUGUCGAGCUAGAGUCCGGAAGAGGCGAGUGGAACUCCUGGUGUAGCGGUGGAAUGCGCAGAUAUCAGGAAGAACACCAACGGCGAAGGCAGCUCGCUGGGACGGAACUGACGCUAAGGCGCGAAAGCGUGGGGAGCGAACAGG